GAGAGGAUACCUGAUCACGUACGGGCAUAUCAGUGGCCAGACAGGGUCAGGUAUGUAGUGCUCAAGUGGGGUGAGCUCUUUGGGGGCUAGGUUGACAGACUUUUGAUUCCAGAAACCUCCUCU